CAGUCGAACGAUGAUCAGGAGCUUGCUCCUGUGAUUAGUGGCGAACGGGUGAGUAACACGUGAGUAACCUGCCCCUGACUCUGGGAUAAGCGUUGGAAACGACGUCUAAUACUGGAUAUGAUCACUGGCCGCAUGGUCUGGUGGUGGAAAGAUUUUUUGGUUGGGGAUGGACUCGCGGCCUAUCAGCUUGUUGGUGAGGUAAUGGCUCACCAAGGCGACGACGGGUAGCCGGCCUGAGAGGGUGACCGGCCACACUGGGACUGAGACACGGCCCAGACUCCUACGGGAGGCAGCAGUGGGGAAUAUUGCACAAUGGGCGAAAGCCUGAUGCAGCAACGCCGCGUGAGGGAUGACGGCCUUCGGGUUGUAAACCUCUUUUAGUAGGGAAGAAGCGAAAGUGACGGUACCUGCAGAAAAAGCACCGGCUAACUACGUGCCAGCAGCCGCGGUAAUACGUAGGGUGCAAGCGUUGUCCGGAAUUAUUGGGCGUAAAGAGCUCGUAGGCGGUUUGUCGCGUCUGCUGUGAAAUCCCGAGGCUCAACCUCGGGCUUGCAGUGGGUACGGGCAGACUAGAGUGCGGUAGGGGAGAUUGGAAAUUCCUGGUGUAGCGGUGGAAUGGCGCAGAUAUCAGGAGGAACACCGAUGGCGAAGGCAGAUCUCUGGGCCGUAACUGACGCUGAGGAGCGAAAGCGUGGGGAGCGAACAGGAUUAGAUACCCUGGUAGUCCACGCCGUAAACGUUGGGCGCUAGAUGUAGGGACCUUUCCACGGUUUCUGUGUCGUAGCUAACGCAUUAAGCGCCCCGCCUGGGGAGUACGGCCGCAAGGCUAAAACUCAAAGGAAUUGACGGGGGCCCGCACAAGCGGCGGAGCAUGCGGAUUAAUUCGAUGCAACGCGAAGAACCUUACCAAGGCUUGACAUACACCGGAAACGGCCAGAGAUGGUCGCCCCCUUGUGGUCGGUGUACAGGUGGUGCAUGGUUGUCGUCAGCUCGUGUCGUGAGAUGUUGGGUUAAGUCCCGCAACGAGCGCAACCCUCGUUCUAUGUUGCCAGCGCGUUAUGGCGGGGACUCAUAGGAGACUGCCGGGGUCAACUCGGAGGAAGGUGGGGAUGACGUCAAAUCAUCAUGCCCCUUAUGUCUUGGGCUUCACGCAUGCUACAAUGGCCGGUACAAAGGGCUGCGAUACCGUAAGGUGGAGCGAAUCCCAAAAAGCCGGUCUCAGUUCGGAUUGAGGUCUGCAACUCGACCUCAUGAAGUCGGAGUCGCUAGUAAUCGCAGAUCAGCAACGCUGCGGUGAAUACGUUCCCGGGCCUUGUACACACCGCCCGUCAAGUCAUGAAAGUCGGUAACACCCGAAGCCGGUGGCCUAACCCU
rnacentral:rRNA from 1 species